GGUGGUUCUCAGGUGACGCACCCCAGAAUUGGGUUCCCUCCUCUCUGGUUCUGGGUGUGACACCUGAGAACCGCA
rfam:Myotis davidii contig43137, whole genome shotgun sequence.